UUUGCUAUUCGGCAUUUGCACUGGCCUCCAGUAUAAAAUAUUGGUGUAUGUUAUCCAUAAUGCAAUGCGCGUAAGGACUUAUAGAUCAAAGUGCAAAUGUAUUUGAAUUAGGAGUUUACUAGAAACAAGUCUCCAAGGGUCAUCAUUUAUCAUGCUGGAAUGACUGAAAUUUCACCCAUGAAAUUGAGGGUGAUAAUAAUACCCAUACCAAUUUGCUGUCGUUGAAUUUCCAUUUCCAUGCGGAAAAUAAAGUAGAAACAAACAAAAACCAGAUUCGCAGAAACAGUUAACAAUAAGUAUUCGCAAUAGAUCCCAUUAGUCCAUCCAAGCGGACGAAAUUUGACUGCGGGGGUUAUUGUUCUGCAUGAUAUGCUUCCUGCUAUGUAAUACAAGAGGGAACAAGCAGCAUUCAGUCAUACUGCAGCUAAUGCAAAGACAAAACCUCCGCUGUUGCAAGUCCGCACGAUGUUGCCGUCUCACCAUGCGCGCGUACCCAUUACCGUACACCCGAGGUUCGUCGUGAAAUACGUAGGCUGCGAAAACGUCAGCGAAACCGACAGUGACGCCGCCUACCGCGACAAGCUGACGAAAAUCCACCAGAAAAACGCCGCAAAAGUUCACCACUCGCGUAAAAUGCUCCUUUGCGUAAAGGACGCAGGCGUGUCCCUUAAAUGCGUGAAAACUGGAAGAGAUCAGUUUUUCGCGGUUAGCAAUAUCAGCAAUUGCGUAACCGAUUCUCAUUUUCCUAAUUUUGUAUUGAUGACGUAUAAGCGAAUUGUUGAGGUCCCGGAUCUGGAGUGUCACGUGUUCAUGUGUGGUUCUGGCGCCAAGGCGAAGGAGCUCCGGGAGGCGAUGUUUAGUCUGUUCUCUUCGGCAGAGUAUACAGCGAGGCAUUACCAAAAGAGUAUGGAAAAUCUGGAACAGAUCGGGGACUCGGAAAAUAAGCCAAAACGGACACUGUCACGAUCAUACUCGGCAAAUGACUAGAUUCGCGUUCUUGAGAUAUGAGGUAGUGUUAGAGAAGUACAGAUGGCACUCAAAAGGCAGUGGUUGCAGAUUCAAGAACCUUUGUCAGCCGGCAUUUUGUCAGCAAAGUCCAAGUGAGAGAAAGCGUUUAUCUCCAUCAGCUGAGGAGAGGUUGCGAUAUUUUCGUUUGAAUUCGGUAAAUAAAGCAUAAGAUUUUAUUUAGUGAUGAUAUAAUUAUAAUAAAUAAAAAAAUGGUACCCAA